CAGUCGCCGCGGGAAUACGGAGGGGGCUAGCGUUGUUCGGAAUUACUGGGCGUAAAGCGCACGUAGGCGGCUUUGUAAGUUAGAGGUGAAAGCCCGGGGCUCAACCCCGGAAUUGCCUUUAAGACUGCAGAGCUAGCAGGUGAGAGAGGUGAGUGGAAUUCCGAGUGUAGAGGUGAAAUUCGUAGAUAUUCGGAAGAACACCAGUGGCGAAGGCGGCUCACUGGCUCAUUCUAGACGCUGAGGUGCGAAAGCGUGGGGAGCAAACAGGAUUAGAUACCCCAGUAGUCCCUGUCUCUUAUAC
rnacentral:rRNA from 1 species